rnacentral:rRNA from 1 species
UACAGAGGUCUCAAGCGUUGUUCGGAUUCACUGGGCGUAAAGGGCGCGUAGGCGGUUCGCUAAGGUGGAUGUGAAAACUCUGGGCUCAACCCAGAGCCUGCAUCCAAAACUGGCGGGCUAGAGUUCUGGAGGGGGUAGCGGAAUUCCUGGUGUAGCGGUGAAAUGCGUAGAUAUCAGGAGGAACACCGGUGGCGAAGGCGGCUACCUGGACAGAAACUGACGCUGAGGCGCGAAAGCUAGGGGAGCAAACAGG